UUUCCUACGGGAGGCAGCAGUGGGGAAUAUUGCACAAUGGGGGAAACCCUGAUGCAGCGACGCCGCGUGAGUGAAGAAGUAUUUCGGUAUGUAAAGCUCUAUCAGCAGGGAAGAUAAUGACGGUACCUGACUAAGAAGCCCCGGCUAACUACGUGCCAGCAGCCGCGGUAAUACGUAGGGGGCAAGCGUUAUCCGGAUUUACUGGGUGUAAAGGGUGCGUAGGUGGCAGGGCAAGUCAGAUGUGAAAGCCACGGGCUCAACCUGUGGCCUGCAUUUGAAACUGUGUUUCUUGAGUACUGGAGAGG
rnacentral:rRNA from 1 species